AUUGAACGCUGGCGGCAGGCCUAACACAUGCAAGUCGAGCGGAUGAAGGGAGCUUGCUCCUGGAUUCAGCGGCGGACGGGUGAGUAAUGCCUAGGAAUCUGCCUGGAAGUGGGGGAUAACGUCCGGAAACGGGCGCUAAUACCGCAUACGUCCUGAGGGAGAAAGUGGGGGAUCUUCGGACCUCACGCUAUCAGAUGAGCCUAGGUCGGAUUAGCUAGUUGGUGGGGUAAAGGCCUACCAAGGCGACGAUCCGUAACUGGUCUGAGAGGAUGAUCAGUCACACUGGAACUGAGACACGGUCCAGACUCCUACGGGAGGCAGCAGCGGGGAAUAUUGGACAAUGGGCGAAAGCCUGAUCCAGCCAUGCCGCGUGUGUGAAGAAGGUCUUCGGAUUGUAAAGCACUUUAAGUUGGGAGGAAGGGCAGUAAGUUAAUACCUUGCUGUUUUGACGUUACCAACAGAAUAAGCACCGGCUAACUUCGUG
rnacentral:rRNA from 1 species